ACCCUAUAGAAUACUCAAGCUAUGCAUCCAACGCGUUGGGAGCUCUCCCAUAUGGUCGACCUGCAGGCGGCCGCGAAUUCACUAGUGAUUAGAGUUUGAUCAUGGCUCAGAACGAACGCUGGCGGCAGGCCUAACACAUGCAAGUCGAGCGCACUCUUCGGAGUGAGCGGCGGACGGGUUAGUAACGCGUGGGAAUAUACCCUUUUCUACGGAAUAGCCUCGGGAAACUGAGAGUAAUACCGUAUACGCCCUUCGGGGGAAAGAUUUAUCGGUGAAGGAUUAGCCCGCGUCUGAUUAGAUAGUUGGUGGGGUAACGGCCUACCAAGUCUACGAUCAGUAGCUGGUUUGAGAGGAUGAUCAGCAACACUGGGACUGAGACACGGCCCAGACUCCUACGGGAGGCAGCAGUGGGGAAUCUUAGACAAUGGGCGCAAGCCUGAUCUAGCCAUGCCGCGUGAGUGACGAAGGCCUUAGGGUCGUAAAGCUCUUUCGCCAGAGAUGAUAAUGACAGUAUCUGGUAAAGAAACCCCGGCUAACUCCGUGCCAGCAGCCGCGGUAAUACGGAGGGGGUUAGCGUUGUUCGGAAUUACUGGGCGUAAAGCGUACGUAGGCGGAUUGGAAAGUAGGGGGUGAAAUCCCAGGGCUCAACCCUGGAACUGCCUCCUAAACUAUCAGUCUAGAGUUCGAGAGAGGUGAGUGGAAUUCCAAGUGUAGAGGUGAAAUUCGUAGAUAUUUGGAGGAACACCAGUGGCGAAGGCGGCUCACUGGCUCGAUACUGACGCUGAGGUACGAAAGUGUGGGGAGCAAACAGGAUUAGAUACCCUGGUAGUCCACACCGUAAACGAUGAAUGCCAGACGUCGGGGGGCUUGCCCUUCGGUGUCACACCUAACGGAUUAAGC
rnacentral:rRNA from 1 species